rnacentral:rRNA from 1 species
AUGGCACUACGUUUUGGCAUAUUACUUGCACAAAAGACGGGAAGCAACCGACUUGUUGUUAACUCCGACAAUUUGGAAGUAAUUGACACAAUGAAGAAUGGAGGACAUACAGCGGGAGCGGCGGCGGUUGUGUUUGAUGAUUAUUAUUUUAUGGCUUGUGUAGUUAGAUUUGAACAUUGUAAUAGGGAAGCAAAUAAAGUAGCUCAUGAAAUUGCUAGAGUAGCUAAAUUUUCUGAGACAAGGGAUUGGUUUGAGGAACCUAUGAGUGAUGUAAAUUUUCUUAUAGACGAUGUAACCAUUAUUACUAAUAAAUAA